rnacentral:rRNA from 1 species
CUAGGAGACUUUAAUGAAAUUCUAUUAAAUUCAGAGAAGGAAGGAGGCAAUCCAAGGCCCGUGAGAUUUAUGCAAGAUUUCCAGGACUGUCUAGAUCAUUGCGGCCUAAGUGAUAUGGAAUUUGUGGGUGAUAAGUAUACAUGGAGACGUGGCAAAAUUAGGGGAAGGCUGGACAGAUCGGUGUCUUCGUCAGAAUGGAGAAAUUUAUUUCCUUUUGCUGCGUUGGUUAAUGAGAGUAUGACAAAAUCAGAUCACCGUCCAAUUGUUGUGGACACACAGUACUUUAAGGCAGAUGUAUUACAGAAUAAACAAGCUACUAAUCAUUUUGAAGCAUGA